rnacentral:rRNA from 1 species
UCCUGGCUCAGAAUAAACGCUGGCGGCGUGCCUAACACAUGCAAGUCGAACGAGAAAGUCUGUUUUCGGACGGGCGAGUAAAGUGGCGUACGGGUGAGUAACGCGUAGGUAACCUGCCCUUGUGUUCGGGAUAACAGUGCGAAAGCGCUGCUAAUACCGGAUGUGCCCAUCAGGCGGCGGUUUGAUGGACAAAGUCGGCCUCUCGCAGAAGCCGAUGCACGGGGAUGGGCCUGCGUCCUAUCAGCUUGUUGGCAGGGUAACGGCCUACCAAGGCUUCGACGGGUAGCUGGUUUGAGAGGAUGAUCAGCCACACUGGCACUGAAACACGGGCCAGACUCCUACGGGAGGCAGCAGUGAGGAAUUUUGCGCAAUGGCCGCAAGGCUGACGCAGCAACGCCGCGUGGGUGAAGAAGGCCUUCGGGUCGUAAAGACCCUGUCAGGUGGGAAGAAUGACCGUGAGUCGAAUAGGCUUACGGUGUACGGUACCACCAAAGGAAGCACCGGCUAACCGUC